rfam:Picea glauca, whole genome shotgun sequence.
GUACAUGCCCACAACAUAAUGUUAAUGCAUAGGAUCCCAUUAAAACUCCGCAAUUAAGCACACUUAGGAUAGAGUAGUACUAGGAUUGGUGACCACCCGGAAAGUUGUAGUGUUUUAUAUG